rnacentral:rRNA from 1 species
AUCUGUGGUCAUACCACCCUGAACACACCUUAUCUUUUCUGAUUUCAGAAGUUAUGCAGGGUUAAUACUUGGAAAGAGGUGACUCUAAAAUUGUUUGCCAUAAACU